rnacentral:rRNA from 1 species
CAAUAGCGUAUAUUUAAGUUGUUGCAGUUAAAAAGCUCGUAGUUGGAUUUCGGGUGGGACGCAGCGGUCUCGCAUUGCGUUUGUACUGCUGCAGCCCUCCUUCUUGCCGGGGGCGGCCUCUCGGACUUCACUGUCUGGGGGUCAGAAUCGGCGAUGUUACUUUGAGUAAAUUAGAGUGUUCAAAGCAAGCUUACGCUCUGAAUAUAAUAGCAUGGAAUAACACGACAGGACUCUGGCCUAUCGUGUUGGUCUAUAGGACCAGAGUAAUGAUUAAGAGGGACAGUCGGGGGCAUUCGUAUUCCGUUGUCAGAGGUGAAAUUCUUGGAUUUACGGAAGACGAACAUCUGCGAAAGCAUUUGCCAAGGAUGUUUUCAUUGA